ensembl:scaRNA small Cajal body-specific RNA 6
GGUCAGUGAUGAACAGUAAAAGGUCUGAUUACCCACAAUCCUCUUCUGCAGCCCUCUGGCUCCCAGCAGCCCCUGCUCUCUGUCCCUACCAUGCUCUAGGUGUGCAUUGGUAGUUUGAGGGGCAGCUGACAGGAAGUGACAUCACAUCAAAAGCCUGUAUAGAGAUCUUAUGGGCUGUUUGUGGUACCUGACAACCGAUGAGCAAGGAGUGUCAGGCUGAGAAGCAAGGAGGAGGGGAAUGAUCUCAAGUUUUCAACCUGAGACC